GACCCUGCGUGGUGGGUAGUUUGACUGGGGCGGUCGCCUCCUAAAGAGUAACGGAGGCGCGCGAAGGUAGGCUCAAGCUGGUCGGAAAUCAGCUGUUGAGUGCAAUGGCAUAAGCCUGCCUGACUGCAAGACGUACAUGUCGAGCAGAGACGAAAGUCGGCCAUAGUGAUCCGGUGGUCCCGUGUGGAAGGGCCAUCGCUCAACGG
rnacentral:rRNA from 11 species